rnacentral:ncRNA from 2 species
UGCUUAUCAAGAAUGGCAGAGAGAACGGGCUCGUAGAUGCCAUGGCAACCGUUGUUCCCAGCGAAAGGUGCCAAGUCCCGCUUCGGAAGUGUCCGAGAAAGAUGAGCU